rnacentral:sRNA from 1 species
AGACUUUAAACUUUGGAAAUGGAUUUGCUUUGGCUCUCUGCUUGUCUUUUUUGCCAAAUACUGAUGUACCAAUAUUAGCAUGUGGCGAUGAUGAUUGCAGAGUUCACGUAUUUGCUCAACAAAAUGAUCAGUUUCAGAAAGUGCUUUCUCUCUGUGGACAUGAGGAUUGGAUUAGAGGAGUGGAAUGGGCAGCCUUUGGUAGAGAUCUUUUCCUAGCAAGCUGUUCACAAGAUUGCCUGAUAAGAAUAUGGAAGCUGUAUAUAAAGUCAACAUCUUUAGAAACUCAGGAUGACGAUAACAUAAGACUGAAAGAAAAUACUUUUACCAUAGAAAAUGAAAGUGUUAAAAUAGCAUUUGCUGUUACUCUGGAGACAGUGCUAGCCGGUCAUGAAAACUGGGUAAAUGCAGUUCACUGGCAACCUGUGUUUUACAAAGGUAGGAAGAAAACCAUACACAUAUCCCUUACUCCAGUUAAAUCUUAUGGCAUGGCAAGCUGACCAAAUCAAGUGGAGAAUUUUUUUAGUGUGAUUAGAAAUCUCAAAUACAUGACAUUUUCAAGUUGACAAAGUAUAAUACUGCAUUCGUGGUCUGCUGGACACUCAAUUCUAUUGAACAUUGAACUUCUAAGUGGGAAAAGUGUAAUUCCUGCCAUGAUGCUGAAACUACCACACCCCCAGUAACUUUUUAUCUUAAAAGUUUCCACUUGAUUAUUAUGGGAUUGAAGAAAAACUGACUUUCAAGCCAACUUCACUGGAUCCU